GGGUUGUGAGGUUAAGCGACUAAGCGUACACGGUGGAUGCCCUGGCAGUCAGAGGCGAUGAAGGACGUGCUAAUCUGCGAUAAGCGUCGGUGAGGUGAUAUGAACCGUUAUAACCGGCGAUUUCCGAAUGGGGAAACCCAGUGUGUUUCGACACACUAUCAUUAACUGAAUCCAUAGGUUAAUGAGGCGAACCGGGGGAACUGAAACAUCUAAGUACCCCGAGGAAAAGAAAUCAACCGAGAUUCCCCCAGUAGCGGCGAGCGAACGGGGAGGAGCCCAGAGCCUGAAUCAGUGUGUGUGUUAGUGGAAGCGUCUGGAAAGGCGCGCGAUACAGGGUGACAGCCCCGUACACAAAAAUGCACAUAUUGUGAGCUCGAUGAGUAGGGCGGGACACGUGGUAUCCUGUCUGAAUAUGGGGGGACCAUCCUCCAAGGCUAAAUACUCCUGACUGACCGAUAGUGAACCAGUACCGUGAGGGAAAGGCGAAAAGAACCCCGGCGAGGGGAGUGAAAAAGAACCUGAAACCGUGUACGUACAAGCAGUGGGAGCCUCUUAAUGGGGUGACUGCGUACCUUUUGUAUAAUGGGUCAGCGACUUAUAUUCUGUAGCAAGGUUAACCGAAUAGGGGAGCCGAAGGGAAACCGAGUCUUAACUGGGCGUUAAGUUGCAGGGUAUAGACCCGAAACCCGGUGAUCUAGCCAUGGGCAGGUUGAAGGUUGGGUAACACUAACUGGAGGACCGAACCGACUAAUGUUGAAAAAUUAGCGGAUGACUUGUGGCUGGGGGUGAAAGGCCAAUCAAACCGGGAGAUAGCUGGUUCUCCCCGAAAGCUAUUUAGGUAGCGCCUCGUGAAUUCAUCUCCGGGGGUAGAGCACUGUUUCGGCAAGGGGGUCAUCCCGACUUACCAACCCGAUGCAAACUGCGAAUACCGGAGAAUGUUAUCACGGGAGACACACGGCGGGUGCUAACGUCCGUCGUGAAGAGGGAAACAACCCAGACCGCCAGCUAAGGUCCCAAAGUCAUGGUUAAGUGGGAAACGAUGUGGGAAGGCCCAGACAGCCAGGAUGUUGGCUUAGAAGCAGCCAUCAUUUAAAGAAAGCGUAAUAGCUCACUGGUCGAGUCGGCCUGCGCGGAAGAUGUAACGGGGCUAAACCAUGCACCGAAGCUGCGGCAGCGACACUAUGUGUUGUUGGGUAGGGGAGCGUUCUGUAAGCCUGUGAAGGUGUGCUGUGAGGCAUGCUGGAGGUAUCAGAAGUGCGAAUGCUGACAUAAGUAACGAUAAAGCGGGUGAAAAGCCCGCUCGCCGGAAGACCAAGGGUUCCUGUCCAACGUUAAUCGGGGCAGGGUGAGUCGACCCCUAAGGCGAGGCCGAAAGGCGUAGUCGAUGGGAAACAGGUUAAUAUUCCUGUACUUGGUGUUACUGCGAAGGGGGGACGGAGAAGGCUAUGUUGGCCGGGCGACGGUUGUCCCGGUUUAAGCGUGUAGGCUGGUUUUCCAGGCAAAUCCGGAAAACCAAGGCUGAGGCGUGAUGACGAGGCACUACGGUGCUGAAGCGACAAAUGCCCUGCUUCCAGGAAAAGCCUCUAAGCAUCAGGUAACAUCAAAUCGUACCCCAAACCGACACAGGUGGUCAGGUAGAGAAUACCAAGGCGCUUGAGAGAACUCGGGUGAAGGAACUAGGCAAAAUGGUGCCGUAACUUCGGGAGAAGGCACGCUGAUAUGUAGGUGAAGCGACUUGCUCGUGGAGCUGAAAUCAGUCGAAGAUACCAGCUGGCUGCAACUGUUUAUUAAAAACACAGCACUGUGCAAACACGAAAGUGGACGUAUACGGUGUGACGCCUGCCCGGUGCCGGAAGGUUAAUUGAUGGGGUUAGCGGUAACGCGAAGCUCUUGAUCGAAGCCCCGGUAAACGGCGGCCGUAACUAUAACGGUCCUAAGGUAGCGAAAUUCCUUGUCGGGUAAGUUCCGACCUGCACGAAUGGCGUAAUGAUGGCCAGGCUGUCUCCACCCGAGACUCAGUGAAAUUGAACUCGCUGUGAAGAUGCAGUGUACCCGCGGCAAGACGGAAAGACCCCGUGAACCUUUACUAUAGCUUGACACUGAACAUUGAGCCUUGAUGUGUAGGAUAGGUGGGAGGCUUUGAAGUGUGGACGCCAGUCUGCAUGGAGCCGACCUUGAAAUACCACCCUUUAAUGUUUGAUGUUCUAACGUUGGCCCGUAAUCCGGGUUGCGGACAGUGUCUGGUGGGUAGUUUGACUGGGGCGGUCUCCUCCUAAAGAGUAACGGAGGAGCACGAAGGUUGGCUAAUCCUGGUCGGACAUCAGGAGGUUAGUGCAAUGGCAUAAGCCAGCUUGACUGCGAGCGUGACGGCGCGAGCAGGUGCGAAAGCAGGUCAUAGUGAUCCGGUGGUUCUGAAUGGAAGGGCCAUCGCUCAACGGAUAAAAGGUACUCCGGGGAUAACAGGCUGAUACCGCCCAAGAGUUCAUAUCGACGGCGGUGUUUGGCACCUCGAUGUCGGCUCAUCACAUCCUGGGGCUGAAGUAGGUCCCAAGGGUAUGGCUGUUCGCCAUUUAAAGUGGUACGCGAGCUGGGUUUAGAACGUCGUGAGACAGUUCGGUCCCUAUCUGCCGUGGGCGCUGGAGAACUGAGGGGGGCUGCUCCUAGUACGAGAGGACCGGAGUGGACGCAUCACUGGUGUUCGGGUUGUCAUGCCAAUGGCACUGCCCGGUAGCUAAAUGCGGAAGAGAUAAGUGCUGAAAGCAUCUAAGCACGAAACUUGCCCCGAGAUGAGUUCUCCCUGA
rnacentral:rRNA from 1 species